rnacentral:rRNA from 1 species
ACUCAAAGGAAUAGACGGGGGCCCGCACAAGCAGUGGAUUAUGUGGUUUAAUUCGAAGCAACGCGAAGAACCUUACCAGGGUUUGACAUCCAACUAACGAGGCAGAGAUGCGUUAGGUGCCCUUCGGGGAAAGUUGAGACAGGUGGUGCAUGGUUGUCGUCAGCUCGUGUCGUGAGAUGUUGGGUUAAGUCCCGCAACGAGCGCAACCCUUAUUGCUAGUUGCUACGCAAGAGCACUCUAGCGAGACUGCCGUUGAUAAAACGGAGGAAGGUGGGGACGACGUCAAAUCAUCAUGCCCCUUAUAUCCUGGGCUACACACGUAAUACAAUGGCGUUUAACAGAGGGAAGCAAAGCCGCGAGGUGGAGCAAAUCCCCAAAAGGCGUCUCAGUUCGGAUUGCAGGCUGCAACCCGCCUGCAUGAAGUCGGAAUUGCUAGUAAUCGCGGAUCAGCAUGCCGCGGUGAAUACGUUCCCGGGCCUUGUACACACCGCCCGU